AAGGGAGACCUAAUUCAGGUAUGGAACGAAAAAAAAGUAGUCCCGACCAAGAAUCAAUCCCAAAAGGUCGGAACGAGGUAUGAGGCUUUCAAACUAGGUUCUGGGUUCAUAAAAGACCUGAAUCAGGAACAAGGGCUAUUAGCUCAGGUGGUUAGAGCGCACCCCUGAUAAGGGUGAGGUCCCUGGUUCGAGUCCAGGAUGGCCCACCUGCACAGGUGGCAAAAACAAGAGAAGCUCCGAAUCAGCACCUUAUCUUAUAUACAUAUAUAAGAGAGAAUGCUGGCUCUGAGUACAGAGUCCAGAGGAACCUUGAAAACUGCAUAGAGCUAGGUGAAAAAGCCAAAAAAGAAGACCGCAA
rnacentral:tRNA from 1 species